rnacentral:lncRNA from 1 species
CCCAGAGCCUUGCACUUGUUAGGCAAGUGCUCAGCCACUGAAUUACAAUAGGGUUAUAUCCCAGUAAAACCAUUGUAAAUUGAGAAUACAUUGUCAAAAAUGCAUUUAAUGCCUUAAACUACUGAACAUCAUAGCUUGGCAACUCAAGGCAUUGUAGUGUCAGUGAUUUCCCCUUCUGAUCACAUGACUGAACACAAAUCUCUAGCCGAGGAAAAUAUCAAAUUUCAAAACUCCAUAUGUGAUUUCUACUGAAAUCACAUCCCUUUCACACCAUUUUAAAGCCAUUAAGUAGGUUGGGGACUGACUAGAUUUGUGUACCUGCUACAAUGGAACUACCAUGUGUUGUUUCCUUUUUCACCAGGCCUGACCUUGGAAUUAUUUGCUCUUUCCUGCCUUUCCCACACCUGGGGGGAAGCACAUUAGCUUCCUUAUCUCCUCUUUGCUUCAGGGGUGGGAGCAUCAUGGUUGCGGGCUCCCCUACUCUGUAUUUCUUAGGCUCUGUCUCUAUGUUGGCUUGGAGGUCCUGGACUCACCACAGCUUCCAGAGCAGGUACUCUCCCAGACCAUGUGUCCUCUCUCCCUGACUUCAGGGCAGCAUCAAAGCUCUUGAGUUUGAACUGACCCUGAAAUCCAC